ensembl:lncRNA
AACCUGAUUAUCAUUUCUUGCUAUGCAGUAAUAUUCCAUCAUAAUCAUUAGAUGCCACAUCUUGUUUAGCCAUGACCCAACUGAUGGACAUCCCCUCAGUUUUGAGUUCUUUACCACCACAAAGAGAGACGCUCUAAAUAUUUUGUAAUAUAUAGGUUCACUGCCUUUUUACCUAAUCCCCUUAGGAAACAUUCUUGUUGGUGGUAUUGCUGGGUCUAAGAGUAAACAUAGUUUUAUAAUUCUCUGGGCAGAAUUCCAAAUUGCUCUCCAGAAUGGUUAGAUCAAGUCACAGUUCUACCAACAUGGUAUUAGUGUCACCAUUUUUUCCACAUUCUCUCCAACAUUGAUCAUUUUGCACUUUUAUCAUUUCAGCCAAUCUGAUGGGUAUCAAUUGUUAUCGUAGAAUUGUUUUUAUUUACAUUUCCCUAAUCCAUAAUGAUUUAGAGCAUUUUUUUCUUAUGCCCAUGUAUGGUUUUGAUUUCUUCAUUCACAAAUGUUAUAUCACCAUUUCUCAGUGGGGAAUGACUCAUAUUUCUAUAAAUCUGAUAAAACUCUGUAUUUGAGUUAUGAGACCUAUCUGAGAGGCCACCUAAACAGGUUUCCCAAAUUCUCUACUCUCAGUUCUAUUGCAUUCUGAACCUUCACAGUCACUACUGAGCUUGUAGCACUUCUCCAGUCUUUGAGGUAAGAAUCAACUCUUCCUGUCAUCCUGCAACACUCAUUAAGUAGACAACCUUUUGUUUCAGGGUCCUGUGAAGUUUGAGGAUAUGGCAAUAUACCUCUGGAAGGAGGAAUGGGAACUAAUGGACUCCACUCAGAAGAGACUGUACAGGCAGGUGAUGCUGGAGACUUACGAGAAUGUCCUCUCAGUGGAGAGAUGGCUUUGGAGUCAAGGAGAUCUGGGAUCAAGGUCUACCUCUAACAUUUGGCAGCCUUGCAACUAUGGGCACAUCCCUCAAUCCCUGGCAACUGUAAGGUAUGCAUGUUUUAUUAUUAAGCCCUUAUUAAGAAUCUACUCUGUGUCAAGCACUAGGAGAGAAUAUGAAGCUGAAAACUCCAAACAGGGACUGCCCUCAGAGAAUUUCUUUUCUAUUAGAGGAAGAGAGGGAGAGAGCAUGUGCACAAAAAAGGUCUGAAGAAGAAAGAGGACCCUAGAUGGGAGAGAAUGCAAUCAUCAGAGAGGAUCAAGGAUGUAAGAUAUGAAGGAAUCUAUACUCUGAGAGGUAGAAUGAGAUGGAAGGCAGCCCAAACAUGGUGCAAAUGCAUGGAAGGAGGAAAUAGAAUAUUGAGUUGAGCAGUCUGACUUGAAUAUAGAGGGGGAAAGGGGGAAAAAUAUAAGGAUGGACAGGUGAGUAGGAAUCAAUAUGCAGAGGACCUCAAGGCCCUUAUAUAUUUCCUGAAUGCUUCCCAAAGAUCCACCUUGAGUUCUACUUUCUCUUAAGCUUUUGAUGACUACUAAAGUACAUCCACUGAUUAUUCCCAUUUCAUAACUCUUGUAGCACUGAUUGUAAUGAUUGAAGCCAUGUUUUUGUAUUACCUUAAAUUCUUUGAGAUCAAUGUAGUUAUCUUGGUUAUUAUUUUAUCUCCUAACAGUAAUAUCUCUUUUCUGAAAGUCCUCAUUUGGGUAAAAUGAGAAGGCAAGAUUGGAAGCACUGAGACUCUGUAACCUCCUAGGUCAAUCAUGGAAUUGUUUUUAUCGGACAGUCAGCUUGCUGUGUUCCUAUAUGUUCUCUCAGCACAUAACAGGGAUUCCAGGAAUUAAUGCCCUUGUCCCAUCACAGCCAUUUCUGGGACCGUACCAGGAAAGGGGCAGGGUCCAGGAUAGCCCUGGGCUCACUACUUACAGGAGAGGUGGUUCCUUUUUCCAAACAGUAGGACAACUGACCCUAAAGAGAACUAGGUGGAGAAUAAGAAGGGAGGGAGUGGGAAGGGGAGUAAAAUAGGAGUGAGGGAAAGGGAGACUGAUUAAAAGCAAAACACUGGUGUGGAGGGAAAUAAUGAUAGGAGAAAGGGCAGGAUUAAAAGGGGGAAAAUGAUUGGGAAUACACAAAUAGUAAUCAUAACUCUGAAUGUGAAUUUGAUGAAAUCACCCAUGAAACAGAAGCAGAUUAAAAAAUCCAACCACAUGUUGUUUACAAGAAACAUACAUGAGGCAAGUAGACAGCAUAAAAGUAAGAGGCUGGAGCAGAAUCUUUUAGGUAUCAAUUGAGAAAAAGAAGACAGGAAUGGCAAUCAUGAUCUCUGACAAAACUAAAGCAAAAAUGGAUCUGAUUAAAAGAGAUAAGGAUGGCAAUUACAUCCUGAUAAAAGGCAGUAUAGACAAUGAAGAAAUAUCAGUAUUCAGCAUCUAUGCACCAAAUGGUAUAGCAUCCAGAUUUUUAAAGGAGAAACUACUGGAGCUUAAGGAGGAAAUAAAUAGUAAAACUGUACUAGUGGGAGAUUUCA